CUACGUAGGUGACAAGCGUUAUCCGGAUUUACUGGGCGUAAAGGGCGUGUAGGCGGUCUUGCAAGUCAGAAGUGAAAUUCCUGAGCUCAACUCGGGCGCUGCUUCUGAAGCUGCAGGACUUGAGUGCUGGAGGGGAUAGCGGAAUUCCUAGUGGAGCGGUAAAAUGCGCAGAUAUUAGGAAGAACACCGGUGGCGAAGGCGGCUAUCUGGACAGUAACUGACGCUGAGGCGCGAAAGCGUGGGGAGCAAACAGGAUUAGAUACCCUGGUAGUCCACGCUGUAAACGAUGGAUACUAGGUGUGCGGGGACUGACCCCCUGCGUCCCGCAGUUAACACAAUAAGUAUCCCACCUGGGGAGUACGAUCGCAAGGUUGAAACUCAAAGGAAUUGGCGGGG
rnacentral:rRNA from 1 species